rnacentral:rRNA from 1 species
GACGAACGCUGGCGGCGUGCCUAACACAUGCAAGUCGAGCGGGGGGAGUUCUUCGGAACGAACCUAGCGGCGGAAGGGUGCGUAACACGUGGGCAACCUGCCUCGAGCAGGGGGAUAAGAGGAUGAAAGUCAAGCUAAUACUGAAUACCCCGGUGCUGUCGCAUGAUGACAUCGGCAAAGGAGCAAUCCGCCUCAAGAUGUGACCGCGGCGCAUUAGCUAGUUGGUGGGGUAACGGCCUACCAAGGCGACGAUGCGUAGCCGACCUGAGAGGGUGAUCGGCCACAUCGGAACGGAGACACGGUCCAGACUCCUACGGGAGGGAGCAGUGGGGGAUAUUGCACAAUGGGCGAAAGCCUGAUGCAGCUACGCCGCGUGAGCGAUGUAGGCCGUCGGGUUGUAAAGCUCUGUCUUCGCGGACGAAAUCUGACGGUAAGCGAGGAGAAAGCCACGGCUAACUACGUG